rnacentral:rRNA from 1 species
GAAAGGCCAAUCAAACCGGGAGAUAGCUGGUUCUCCCCGAAAGCUAUUUAGGUAGCGCCUCGUGAAUUCAUCUCCGGGGGUAGAGCACUGUUUCGGCUAGGGGGCCAUCCCGGCUUACCAACCCGAUGCAAACUGCGAAUACCGGAGAAUGUUAUCACGGGAGACACACGGCGGGGGCUAAUGUCCGUCGUGAAGAGGGAAACAACCCAGACCGCCAGCUAAGGUCCCAAAGUCAUGGUUAAGUGGGAAACGAUGUGGGAAGGCCCAGACAGCCAGGAUGUUGGCUUAGAAGCAGCCAUCAUUUAAAGAAAGCGUAAUAGCUCACUGGUCGAGUCGGCCUGCGCGGAAGAUGUAACGGGGCUAAACCAUGCACCGAAGCUGCGGCAGCGACACCGUGUGUUGUUGGGUAGGGGAGCGUUCUGUAAGCCUGUGAAGGUGUGCUGUGAGGCAUGCUGGAGGUAUCAGAAGUGCGAAUGCUGACAUAAGUAACGAUAAAGGGGGUGAAAACCCCCCUCGCCGGAAGACCAAGGGUUCCUGUCCAACGUUAAUCGGGGCAGGGUGAGUCGACCCCUAAGGCGAGGCCGAAAGGCGUAGUCGAUGGGAAACGGGUUAAUAUUCCCGUACUUGGUGUUACUGCGAAGGGGGGACGGAGAAGGCUAUGUUGGCCGGGCGACGGUUGUCCCGGUUUAAGCGUGUAGGUAUGUGUUCCAGGUAAAUCCGGUUCACUUUAACACUGAGGCGUGACGACGAGGCACUACGGUGCUGAAGCAACAAAUGCCCUGCUUCCAGGAAAAGCCUCUAAGCAUCAGGUAACAUCAAAUCGUACCCCAAACCGACACAGGUGGUCAGGUAGAGAAUACCAAGGCGCUUGAGAGAACUCGGGUGAAGGAACUAGGCAAAAUGGUGCCGUAACUUCGGGAGAAGGCACGCUGACACGUAGGUGAAGUGAUUUACUCACGGAGCUGAAGUCAGCCGAAGAUACCAGCUGGCUGCAACUGUUUAUUAAAAACACAGCACUGUGCAAACACGAAAGUGGACGUAUACGGUGUGACGCCUGCCCGGUGCCGGAAGGUUAAUUGAUGGGGUCAGCGCAAGCGAAGCUCCUGAUCGAAGCCCCGGUAAACGGCGGCCGUAACUAUAACGGUCCUAAGGUAGCGAAAUUCCUUGUCGGGUAAGUUCCGACCUGCACGAAUGGCGUAAUGAUGGCCAGGCUGUCUCCACCCGAGACUCAGUGAAAUUGAACUCGCUGUGAAGAUGCAGUGUACCCGCGGCAAGACGGAAAGACCCCGUGAACCUUUACUAUAGCUUGACACUGAACAUUGAGCCUUGAUGUGUAGGAUAGGUGGGAGGCUUUGAAGUGUGGACGCCAGUCUGCAUGGAGCCGACCUUGAAAUACCACCCUUUAAUGUUUGAUGUUCUAACGUGGACCCGUGAUCCGGGUUGCGGACAGUGUCUGGUGGGUAGUUUGACUGGGGCGGUCUCCUCCUAAAGAGUAACGGAGGAGCACGAAGGUUGGCUAAUCCUGGUCGGACAUCAGGAGGUUAGUGCAAUGGCAUAAGCCAGCUUGACUGCGAGCGUGACGGCGCGAGCAGGUGCGAAAGCAGGUCAUAGUGAUCCGGUGGUUCUGAAUGGAAGGGCCAUCGCUCAACGGAUAAAAGGUACUCCGGGGAUAACAGGCUGAUACCGCCCAAGAGUUCAUAUCGACGGCGGUGUUUGGCACCUCGAUGUCGGCUCAUCACAUCCUGGGGCUGAAGUAGGUCCCAAGGGUAUGGCUGUUCGCCAUUUAAAGUGGUACGCGAGCUGGGUUUAGAACGUCGUGAGACAGUUCGGUCCCUAUCUGCCGUGGGCGCUGGAGAACUGAGGGGGGCUGCUCCUAGUACGAGAGGACCGGAGUGGACGCAUCACUGGUGUUCGGGUUGUCAUGCCAAUGGCACUGCCCGGUAGCUAAAUGCGGAAGAGAUAAGUGCUGAAAGCAUCUAAGCACGAAACUUGCCCCGAGAUGAGUUCUCCCUGAGACUUUAGGUCUCCUGAAGGAACGUUGAAGACGACGACGUUGAUAGGCCGGGUGUGUAAGCGCAGCGAUGCGUUGAGCUAACCGGUACUAAUGAACCGUGAGGCUUAACCUU